rnacentral:lncRNA from 1 species
ACAUCAAUGGUAGGGAAUGUAUCCGUGUUGGAUGAAUGCACAGGGGGGGACCUGUAAAACCCAAGGAUUCUAAAAAAAAAAAAAAAACCAAAAACAGUGUUUAUCCUAUUUUUGGUAAAACUUAUAAAGCAUUAGGUACAUUUCAUUACUCACCAUUACACACUUGUUGAAUAUGUCGCCAGUUAACCUGUACAUCAAACUGGCUAUUGAAAUGUAUAUCUAGCUACUACAAUAAACAAACAGGUACAGGUGGGAGAAAAAAUAACUAUCACUAUUUUCUAUAAGCAGAAGCAAAAGGAUCUAUGCAAAAGGAUGGAAGGGAAGUGAGUAGAAGCAAAAGGAUGGCAGGGAAGUGCUCUUCGCUGGUUACCAGGUCCUAAUGUCCUAUCCCUCUUCCUCUUCCUAUUGUUGAAAGUUCACCUAUGAAUUGAAGGGGAGCUAAAAAACAGUACGAGUGAGGUGUAGUGUUUUGCUUGGAAUCAGUGUAUUGGAAAGGUGUUUGGAGAAAUUACAGAGAGAAAAUUUAAAAGUUGGUGACCAACUAAAGAGUUUCUGUGUUGAAUGGUUGAGCUUUUCUGCUUUCAGUACAAAGAAUCUGAUUUUAUUCUUUUCUAAUAACUCCCCACCAUUCGAUCUAACGGUUACACAAGCAAGUGGAGAUCAAUGAGAUCUUCCCCAAACUUAAAUUGUUGAUAUUAAAUUAUCAAUGUCAUCUACAUUUGAUUCCCAAUAGAUAAGUAAUUAUCUUGUUGAGACCAAAAUCAAUAGACAAUCUGACAAUGUGAUUUCUACAAAAAAUCAUUGGUACCAUUCAGCAAUCAGAUUAAUAAGAUCCAAACCAAGAAGAUCAGAUGUAAUAAAACUUAAUUUAUUUUAAAGUAAAUGGAUAUCUCUAGAACAAGAAACAUCACAUCACCAUCACUACUACCACCAACCACCACCACCACCACAUAAACUAAACGAGUUCUGUAAUUAAAAAAAAAAAAAGUGCAAAAAAAAAAACAAACACAAAAAAACGCUAAUAUUCCACCACCACCACCACCACCACCACCAUCAGAUCCAUCAACAAAGAAGCGAAAGAAACUUAAAGCUGACCACAAUCAGCAAUAACAACAGGCUUCUUAGUAGCACCAGUCUGAGAUCCAACCUUUUCAAUAGCCUUAACAACGUCAAGACCUUCAACAACUUGACCAAAAACAACAUGUUUCUUAUCAAGCCAUUCAGUCUUAGCAGUACAGAUAAAGAAUUGAGAUCCAUUAGUUCCAGGUCCAGCAUUAGCCAUUGAUAAAAUACCAGGUCCAGUAUGUUUCUUCACAAAAUUUUCAUCAGCAAACUUAGCACCAUAAAUUGAUUCACCACCAGUACCAUUUCCAGCAGUAAAAUCACCACCUUGACACAUAAA